GACGAACGCUGGCGGCGCGCCUAACACAUGCAAGUCGAACGAGCGAGAGAGAGCUUGCUUUCUCGAGCGAGUGGCGAACGGGUGAGUAACGCGUGAGGAACCUGCCUCAAAGAGGGGGACAACAGUUGGAAACGACUGCUAAUACCGCAUAAGCCCACGGCUCGGCAUCGAGCCGGGGGAAAAGGAGCAAUCCGCUUUGAGAUGGCCUCGCGUCCGAUUAGCUAGUUGGUGGGGUAACGGCCCACCAAGGCGACGAUCGGUAGCCGGACUGAGAGGUUGAACGGCCACAUUGGGACUGAGACACGGCCCAGACUCCUACGGGAGGCAGCAGUGGGGAAUAUUGCACAAUGGGGGAAACCCUGAUGCAGCGACGCCGCGUGGAGGAAGAAGGUCUUCGGAUUGUAAACUCCUGUUGUUGGGGAAGAUAAUGACGGUACCCAACAAGGAAGUGACGGCUAACUACGUG
rnacentral:rRNA from 1 species